rnacentral:lncRNA from 1 species
CAGAAUGCUGAUUAAGAUAUUCACAUGAUUUUAUGAAGCAAAUAAUUAUCUAAAAUGUAUCCUAUUAUAAAAAAAAAUACAGGAGUUAAAAUAAUCUUAUAUUCCACUGAUUAUAAAAUUCAGUCAUUAUGGGCUUGAAGUAAGCAAACAGCAAACCUAAGGUGGUCCCAUCCCUCUUCUGGGGCCAUCCCCAGCUGCUGUGCAGAUUGCAUGGCCUUCUAUUCUGGGAUCCUCUCAGACUUUUCAUACCUUUCUAUCAUGGAGCUUCCAAUUCUAAGUCAUAAUAUUUCCUGAAUGUUCACAAGACUGUGAACUCUUUGGAGGUAGGCACUUUUUCUGGCUAAUCUUUUCUUCUUUUAGUAUCAAUAUGUGUAUCAUAAUUAUUCUUUUUUUUUUUUUUUUUUUUUUUUUUUUGCUUUUUGUCCUUUUUUUAGGGCUGCACUGCGGCAUUUGGAGGUUCCCAGGCUAGGGUCUAAUCGGAGCUGUAGCUGCCAGCCUACACCACAGCCACAGCAAUGCCAGAUCCGAGCUGUGUCUGUGACCUGCACCACAGCUCACGGCAACGCCAUAUCCUUAACCCACUGAGUGAGGCCAGGGAUUGAACCUGCAACCUCAUGGUUCCUAGUCGGAUUUGUUUCUGCUGUGCCAUAGUGGGAACUCCCGUCCUGUGAUGAAGGAUUUCUGGUUUGGGAGUGUGGAGUGUAAAUGCUAAACACAGCAGAGUCAAGCUAUUAGAGAGACCCCUAGUGGCAGGGUCAGGUGGGGCUGUGUGUGGGCUGAACCAGUGGUCAGGAAGAGGACAACUAAAGCAGAUUGAAUCAAACCAUGUAUCCCCACCAUUCAAUUGUAGUUACCAUUUACUCUAGGCUUUGGGAAGCUUUGGCUGACCCUUGAGCCUCAGCUAACUUUGACUCCAUGGCACAUCUGGAUCUUGGUGCCGUAGUUACCAGCAGUGCUUGGUGAGCUCCUGAGUCUGGCUUCAGCAUUUCAAGUUCUUCAAGUUCCUUUAUGUUCUUUCAUAUGGGGAAAUAUUUUUUUUCUAAUCUUCCUAAAGGAACUCAUUGUACCAACAUUUACAGAAAACCUGGGCCCAAUUCUGGACAGAUUUCAUAGUUAUUCCAGUUACUAUUUGUGCUUAACAAAUUACCUCCCAAAGCUAGAUAUGUGAAACUACAAUUUUGCUGACAAUUUUGAAGAUAACAAGUUUGAAAGGAUUUACUGACCAUUUCUCACUUGGGGUUUGUCCUGACAUUGCAGGCAGGUGUCAGCUGGAACUAGGAUCAUGUGAAUACUCAAAUAAGCUGGGUACCCAAGAAGGUUCAUCUCCAGGGUAGGCAGUUUACCUGUCUGCCAGUUGGGGAGCUCAGUCCAGCUGUGGACCAGCGCACCUGUGUGGCCUCUCCAGCAUGGUGGUUUCAGGGUGGUUGGACUUUGUAAAUGGUAGCUGAAUGGCUUCCCCCAGGGUACCAGGUAGAAGCUGCCUGGCCUUCGAUAACUAUCCCUGGAUGUAGGACAGGGUCCCUUCUGCCAUAUCUAUUGGUUAUAGCUGUACAGCUGUCAUCAGGGUACCCAAGGGAUCCCUAUCAAUGGAAGAACUUUGAAAAAUAUAUAGGGACCAUGUUUUGACACUUCUACAAUCACCUUUUCUCAAAAUCUAUUAUUUCUACCAUUUUUUUUCAUAUUUUAAAAUUUUAUUGAAGGAUAGUUGAUUUACAAUGUUAUGAUCAUUUCUGCUGUCCAGUAAAGAGAUUCAGCUCUACAGAUACACACAUAAUCCAUUCUUUCUGAGAUUCUUUUCCCAAGAAGAUUAUCAGAGAAUACUGCGCAGAGUUCCCUGUGCUAUACAACAGGUCCCCAUUGGCCAGUCAUUCCACACACCACAGUGUGUACAGAGCUUAUCACGGUUUUGUUGAUUUCCCCAUAACUUUCUUAAGCUUUCCAAAAGUACCACAAAAAGUAACUCUUUUAAUGCUUUCUUUAACAGAUGUACAGUAAGUGCCUGAUAUAUACCAUGAGGAUUUUGCUAGAAACCCACCACACCAGUUAAAUAAUUAGGCAGAUCUACAGGCAACUAUCAAAUCAUCAUCAAUAAUCACCAUCAAAAUCAAGAACGCAUUUCCCCACUCCCACAUCAUAAACUCUUCAGUCUCAAAUUGUUUUCAUCUUCUGAAUUCCUAAUGCCAUUUUUCCCCCAGAAUGUGUCCAGAAUAGCAGGGCCAUGCUUUAGGCGAGCUGCCCAAGAUGCAUACUUAAGAUUUCACUCUGAGAGGUACCAUCUGGAUCAGGGACUUAGAAAUAUAUCCAAGUGAAAUUUCAUAAAAAUAAGCUAUUGAAAAAAUUGUGUAUUGUUAAUCUUUGGGGAAACAAUAGAAUGGAAAUAAAGAUGGCAUAUUUUUCCAGUGUAAUGAACCUCAACAGUUUCCAUUGUGGCUGCCCGAGCGGGUUUGAUUGCCAGUUGUUAAAUGAGGCUGCAUCUUGAAAAGUGGGAAUAGUUCAGUCAGCAGAGCGGCAGGCAGAUGAUGUUUGCUUUAAAGAGAGAGAUUAGACCGUUGCAACUACCACUGAGGGCAGUUUCACAAAGGCCAGUGUUCCACCACUUUCCUAGGCAACAGGGAAAUGCCCCCUUCUCCCAUUCUUGUUUUCAGAGAGUUUUUGAGGAAUAGGUGGAUUCCAACAAUGGGCUCUCAUCCACAGAUGCAAGGACGGUGAUCACAAAUGGAACAUUUGGGAGCAUUUGGGGAGAUUGCUGAGAAACUGUGCCAUGCCUCUCCCGCCCUCCUCUGUGAUUUGUGGGUUGGAUUUGUGUCCAUUGCUUGUUCUUGGGAAAAUUUUCUGGUUACUUGCCCAGGAGAGGUUAACUCCCUAAAAUGCCUUAAUCAAGUCACUCAGACUCUCAAGUGAGGUAUAUCUUUACCCUCAGGAAAAGGACAUCACAAAGACUCUAUUUAUAGGUUCUCAGCAGAUGAGAGCUCCUAUAUGAUGUAAUUGAAGAGGGGAUAAAAGAUAAGUAUUCCCCCAAUUAACUCACUUUUUUUUUUUUGGCUUGAGUCCAGUCCCCAAGAUGAGAAUCAUGGGUGGGUUAGAUCUGCGUUGUUCAAACUUUUUACAGAACUCUGUUUUCAAACAUGAUCCUAUUUGUUAGCCUAAUAUAUAAAGCAGCAGAGACCAUUCAGAUUCAUCCCUGCCCUGGGCAGCCAAGGGCUAAGAUUUGUUCUUCAAAAUCCCCAAAGAUGCUCUCAGAGUUUUCUCAGUUGAGCAGUUCCAUAAUAGCUGCACUUAACUGAAUGAAGAUUUUCUGUCAGACAUUUCUCAUAAUUUCCAGCGCUUAGAACCAAUCUGUAGUAUGAGUAAUAUCAACACAAUUUUAUAAAGAAAUUGUUUCUCAAGAAAGACUAAUAUCCAUCGAUAGAUACAUGGAUAAAGAAAAUGUGGUAUAUACAUAUAGUAGAAUAUUAUUCAGCCUUUUAAAAAGAAGGUAAUUUUGGAGUUCCCUGGUAGCCCACCAGUUAAGGAUCCAGCAUUGCUGCUGCUGUGGCACAGGUUUGAUAUCUGGACAGGGAACUUCUGCAUGUCAUGGGCAUGGCCAAAAAAAAAGAAGGAUAUUCUUAAAUUCUGCACUUUGUGAUAACAUGGAUGAACCUUGAGGACAUUAUGCUAAGGGAAAAUGCAGAAAUAUAAAGACAGAGACUGCAUAAACCCACUUAUAUGAGAUAUCUAAAGUAGUCAACUUCGAGGAGUUCCUGUUGUCAGUCAGUGGGUUAUGAACCCAGCUAGUAUCCAUGAGGAUGCAGGUUCAAUCCUUGGCCUGGCUCAGUGGGUUAAGGAUCUGGUGUUGCUGCAGGCUGCAACGUAGGUCACAGAUGCAGCUUGGAUCCUGUGUUGCUGUCGCUGGGGCUUAGGCCCCAGCUGCAGCUCUGAUUCGACCUCUGGUCUGGGAACUUCCGUAUGCCACAGGUGGGGCCCUAAAAAAAAAGAAAAAAAAAGUAAAAUUCAUAGACCACAGAGUAGAAUGGUGGUUGUCAGGGGCCAGGAGGAAAAAAUGGGGAGUUAUUAAUUAGUGGGCAUAAAGGUUCAGUUAAGCAAGGUGAGCUCUCAAGAUCUUUUGUAAAACAGUGUACUUUGGUCAAAACUACUGUAUUGGGAGUUUCUGCUGUGGCACAAUUGAAUCAUCUGUGUCUUUGCAGCACCAGGACCCAGGUUGCAUUCCCUAGCCCAGCACGGCGGGUAAAAGGAUUUGGUGUUGCCUCAGCUGUGGCAUAGUUCGCAGUUGCAUCUUGGAUUUGAUCCCCAGGCUGGGAACU